UAAUACUUUAUUUAUAGUUUAAUGUUAUUUGCUUGUAAAUAUUUAAUUAGGAUAGAAGUUAGAAUCGAAUCCAUGUAACAAAGUAGCGAGCUGAAGCAUAUAGGUCGUGGAACAUUAUCGGGCAAUACAUCGUACAGUGAGUAGCUACACUUUGAGCAUGCAAAGAAGAUGUGGUCCAAGUUGCCCUCAUCAAGCCCACAAUCACACAAUGAGUUCGCACGAACACCUAUCAUAGCCAGAAAUAACGGAGUACAUACUUUGCCCAAACGUAAACGACAGAUGGUGGAUAUUACCCAUUUCGGAGACGUACGGAAUCGAUAGAACCACGGUUUUCGAGAUAUACGAGGUUGUAUACAGCCAUAAUGUCUACCUGUCACUAAUCUCGAGGUAUCCCAUUGUUCCUGCCAUGUAUUAAAUAGAUCCGACAGUGAACCACUCAGAAGGUCUGUACUGUAAAUAUCCUCUUUUAUUAAUCCAAUGUCAAUAGCUCGUUUUGCCCAUGUAUCAGCCAUCUCAUUGCCGCUAAUACCACAGUGGCUUGGAACCCAUCCGAGAACAAUAUUUAGGCCCCUUAAUUCACACCUACGCAGUACAGCUUUGAUUUCUAAAAUCAAAGGAAAUUUGGCUUUCAGUUUGAAUUGGUUGCCUACAAUAGCCUGUAGGCAGCUUCUACUAUCAGAGAAGAUAAUAGUUUUUUUAAUACUAUGGGUCUCUGCAUAUUUGGCAGCUUCAAGAAUAGCAACUGCUUCACCUGUGAAAAUCGACGCUUGAGGAGGACACCUAAAUGAGAGGACAAUAUUGUACCGAGGAAUCCACACUGCUGCUCCCACACAUCUUGCAGGAUCUACCUUUGAAGCGUCAGUAUAAACCGUGAGUUCCAGUGCAAGUGACCGCAAACGUGGAAGCAGCAAAUGGUUGUAGUAAGAACUGGCUUUGAUUAAAAAUCUAUCGGCAAGAUAUUGUCUGCGGAGAGACAAAGGAGGCUCAACACCUUCCACCUGCAUGGCGUUCUUGGGAGAAGAAUGCAUAGCUCCGAGUAUGAUCCUCAAACAUUUAGCUUGUAUGAGAUCUAAUUUACCUAGUCCAUCCUUAUUGCAAGGUUCCAUUAAAAAUGACCCAUAGUCUAUAUGACUGCGUAUGAUGGCAUUGUACAGUAGCUUCUGACAAUAUGGAUGUGAGCCCCACCAUACACCUGACAAUGCUCGCAGAAUAUUGAUAUUUUUUUCACACUUACCUAUUAUAUACUUGUGAUGUGAAAUGCCAGACAUUUUGUGAUCUAAAAUGACACCUAGGAAUUUUACUGACUCCUUACUUGGAAUCAUAACACCGCCAUAACGGACAUCUGCAGCAGGCAUGGUUCUUCUGCGACUGAACGUGACUACACAACUCUUCGUUGGCGAUAGAGUAAGACCAUGUUCAUCAAGCCAAUCUUUGAGGUAACCCAGAGCUGUGUUCAAACUAGCAGCGGCUUUAUCUAUUGACUUUGCUGAGGUGUAUAAGACCAGAUCAUCAGCAUACUGCAAGAUAUUACAGAAGGAUAAGACAGAUUGCUCCAAGUCGUAGGUGUAGAUACUGUAAAGCAGAGGGCUGAGUACAGAUCCUUGCGGGAGGCCCCGCCACAAAGUCCGAGGUGGAUGAUAAGAAUUACCAUUCCUAAUUUUAAUUGACCUACCCAUAAACAACUUGGUGACAAUAUGUACAAUCUUCGCGGGAAUGCUCAGAUGUAGCAUUUUUGCCCUGAGCACCGGAAGAAGGACAUUGUCGUAAGCCGCAGAGAUAUCUAGAAAACAUCCUAGCAGAUAUUCGUUUUUUGAAAAGGUAAGUCGGAUAUCAGUUGCUAAAAUGUUUAAACUGUCCAUUGUACUACGGCCCUUUCGGAAACCAAAUUGAGUGUCAGCUAGAAUGCCCUUAUUUUCUGCAAACCAUUCCAGUCUAUUUUUAACCAGGUGCUCCAGUAUCUUUCCCAUUGUUGCAGAAAGAGCAAUCGGCCGAUAUGAGCUAGCCUCGUCUGGGUUUUUAGACGGUUUUAGGAUUGGAAUAAUUACUUGGGUCUUCCAGUCUCCUGGGAUCUCCCCCGUGUCAAAGGCAUGGUUUAGGAUACCAAGUAGAUAUUCCUGUGAUGAUGUAUUUAACUUGGACAAGAAACAAUAUGGUAUGCCAUCCUCUCCAGCGGUUCAGGGGAAGGAGAUGGAAGAAUAGAUGAAGGCUUAGUGAUAAUAAUAGGGAAAUGGUCACUGCCAAAUGACUGACGUAAUACCCUCCAGGAUAAUAAAGAAGAUAAACUAGGAGAACAAACAGAUAAAUCGAGAACUGAUUGGGGAUUCUGGCCUGGGUAUACCCGAUGCGUGGGAGUUCCAUCAUUAAUAACUCCUACAUUGAUGUCAUCGAACAGAUCCAGCAGGGCUGACGAAAACGAAUCUGAAUGGUAUGAUCCCCAGGAGAUAUUGUGACAGUUAAAG